rnacentral:sRNA from 1 species
AUUCAAAUGAUGAACAUGUGUUUUUCCGUAUAAAGUGAAUAAUAAACGCCAAGUCAAAACGUUUCAUCUACACAGCGACCUGCUUCCGAUUUUGUCCCCAGUUUGAUUUGGAAGAGAAUAAACAGCUUCGUUUAUAUGUCCUGCAUUUAAGGAAUGAGAACAAGAACUUUGAAGCUCUAUUUUCAACUGACUGUCUUAUUGGUUGUAGUAAGUGUCUUCAUUUUUGUUCUCUAUGACUUCAAUCUCAAGAACCAUAAUCUCACCACCAUAAAUAAAAUUGAGAGAUGGAUAGUAUUGGAUGACGUCACUUUCCCUUGUCAUGACAUCACAACGUUGACGUCACAAGAGGGCUGGAAAGUCGUUGUUGUUACGGACCAAAAGAAAGACAUCCGAGG